rnacentral:rRNA from 1 species
AUUGAACGCUGGCGGCAUGCCUUACACAUGCAAGUCGAACGGCAGCACGGAGCUUGCUCUGGUGGCGAGUGGCGAACGGGUGAGUAAUAUAUCGGAACGUACCCAAGAGUGGGGGAUAACGUAGCGAAAGUUACGCUAAUACCGCAUACGAUCUAAGGAUGAAAGCAGGGGACCGCAAGGCCUUGUGCUCCUGGAGCGGCCGAUAUCUGAUUAGCUAGUUGGUGAGGUAAAGGCUCACCAAGGCAUCGAUCAGUAGCUGGUCUGAGAGGACGACCAGACACACUGGAACUGAGACACGGUCCGGACUCCUACGGGAGGCAGCAGUGGGGAAUUUUGGACAAGGGGGGCAACCCUGAUCCAGCAAUGCCGCGUGAGUGAAGAAGGCGUUCGGGUUGUAAAGCUCUUUUGUCAGGGAAGAAACGGUCGUGGCUAAUAUCCAUGGCUAAUGACGGUACCUGAAGAAUAAGCACCGGCUAACUACGUGCCAGCCGCCGCCGUAACAC